UUUACACUUUGCCAGAUAAGGAAUCGGCUCUGCGAAGGUGCGAAGAACCAAAUCCUAGCGAUUAAUGUCCCAACAACGUGAACACUUCCUGCAACUCGAAAUCCUCAAGGGAAACUCUGUCGAAUCCCCACCAAGUGAACGAUGACUUGUUUCUACAAAGGCUACUGAUUUCAGGAAACUAACGUAUAACUCGUCGCCUUAAAGUGCCUCUAAAAGCAUCCACGACGGUUAAAGUCGCUGCUACUACGGGACGCUAUUUAUUCAGCGCCAAGACCCAAGCGCCAUCGUGGAUCACCCCAUUCCUGGCCACGGCAACCCUAGGGAGCGGGUCCUAGGAGCCUGCUGGAGGGCGACCGCUGGGCCAGCUUCCUCUCUGCUGACUGAGGGGAGGCCAGGCUGCCUGCAAGGGGAAGGGGCCCUUUCCGCGCUUACCAGGAAUGUUGGCUACCAGGGUAUUUAGCCUAGUUGGCAAGCGAGCAAUUUCCACCUCUGUGUGUGUACGAGCUCAUGAAAGUGUUGUGAAGAGCGAAGACUUUUCGCUCCCAGCUUAUAUGGAUCGGCGUGAC
rnacentral:lncRNA from 1 species